rnacentral:Y_RNA from 1 species
GGCUGGUCUGAGUGCAGUGGUGUUUACAACUAAUUGAUCACAACCAGUUACAGAUUUCUUUGUUCCUUCUCCACUCCCACUGCUUCACUUGACUAGCCUUUA